AGGAUUUGCUCCCCUAUAUUUACCAGGGUGGUCAGGGCAGCUCUCUGGAUACACAGAAAGCCAGUCAGCGGGCCUCACUCCCAGUCUUUUCACCCCUCUGUGCCAAUAACAUGGACAUUUUGGACCUUACCAGAAUCAGAUGGGCUCCAGUGUUUACAUAGUGGUGUGUUUCUGCAGUGCAGAGGUCAGAGUCCAUGCACUCGCACCCACCCAAGUGCCUGGCCACGUUUUGGUAUGCAGAUACAAAGGCACAGGAAAAAGGUGUCGCACCUUAUUAGGCUGUGCUCCUCCGCUGAUGGAGCCUUGCAGGAAGUGAGACAUCUUUCUCAUCAUGCCCCCAUGGCCAGGUAAUUAUCCUAAUCUACCUUCCUCCCGUGCUCCAGCUCCUGCACCACACAGGCUCAGACCACCUCUGUGGCUUCAUUAUCAGCGCUGGGACUCACUAAUGGCUUGACGGCCUCGCUGUGCAGGCUGCUGGCGCAAAAGGAAAAGAGGGAAAGAAGCCGGCGAAGGAGCUGGAGGAGGAGGAACGGGCACGGGAAAAUGAGGCGGUGAGGAGCAAGAGGCUGCCCCCAAGGUUAACGUCUCAAUCACGAGGGACAAGUCUCUCCAGUCCGACGGCUUUGGCUCCUUAAAAGCCAUCGUUUAGUGAUGGAGGAUGAGGCUGGAGUGCGACCGUGUCAGGGGGGAAGUUAUGGGAUCAGCGGCGUCUGACGUCCACGCGUGCAACAUACACAUCACCGCCUCGCACGUCUGAAAUAGCUGUAACCUCACAACAUACAGAAGGACUGGGGGUGGGAGUCGAGUUUCACUUUUUUUUUUCAUUUUUUCUGACAAAUGACACCCUGACAGUUGGAAAAAAUGUUGGGGUCCCUGAACAGAUUUCUCAGUUAUAAAAAUAAAACGUGUUGGAUUAGACAAAGACAGACAUUUUACGUUCUACUUUUGAACCCCAACGAGAGCACUGACAAAUGCCACCCCACCCCCACUCCGUCUGUGCCAUGAUUGUUUUUUUCUCUCCAGAAAUGUCAUAUAGUUAAGAGGUGAUAAUUCUAUAUGGCACAAACAGACACCGACUUCUUCCAAGUGUACAUAGCAUAUAGGCUGACACAGAUUGAGAUGGUGUAACAUGUUUUGGCAUCUCUAUGAAUAGCCCCAGCAGCUCUAUAGCUCCUCAUACGCGCACAGAAUCCAGGGGGAAACAGUUGAGAAGGCUCAAAACCCGGUGGAAGUGGAAGCGUUCAAAACCUGCAGCAUCGAUAGACGUCGAACCCAGCGGCCUCGGCGCCGGCGUGAACGCGUGCGCCCAAGUGGAGGCAGCCGCCAGCCGAUCAUAUGCUAAGCGCCUAUGUUAAAUAUGCUGAUUCGCGCCAGCCGCCGCGGAUCCGCCGCUGCACGUUUUGCCUCCGAACACUUUGAGGAGCCCCUGACUUCUGUCGCGUCACGUACGCGGCUCCAUGUAAGAACAGGCGCCAGCGUCUGUCAGUCAUAUUGUGACGCGCCGUCGGACCGCGGGCCGCCUCCCUCCACCAGUCAGAGCGGCGCCCUUUAAUGCAGCUUCAGACGGAAGCGUCUCUCACAGAUGGAAGUUAAACUGUGCUCCUCUGAAGUGCGACUAAAUCAUCAGCAAAUGAGCACAAACACCAGUGGGACUUAGGAAGCCGACAGCUCGCACAACGUGCUCCACCGCAGCAGGAUUAAAAAAGCAAUAAUUAAAUUCCAUCUACUAAGUAGAACGUGAGCCUGAAUGGAAAAAUGUUGUUGGCAGAAUGCAACAAACCACAGCACAGUCAGUGACUUUUGCCUUAAAGGGCCAGUUCGCCCAAAUAAUGAUGAUAUAUAGGGUAAGAUGUGACUUGUUGCAUCAACUUUGGAUGUGUGGAUGAACCAGUGUGACGAGAAGACGCAUUAGAGCUGGAAACGGCCUCAUCAUCAUCAUCUCAUCCUUACGUGAUGGCUAAAACACAGGUACCUGCGAAACGCUGUAAACUCUCCAACCACCAAAGGCACGAAAAUGCUCUUUCAAACGCGAGCCAAGCGCCGACUGAUGCCGCCGAUUUCAAGGACCUCCCCUCCUUUUAAGUCAAGUUGUCGUUGCUUCUAUGCGCCGCACAUAACCACAACUCAACUCACAGUGUCGCAAACCUGCUCUAGUUUCCAGUUCUAGUUUCAUAAAAAAAGUUUGAGUGAUUUGACUGAGAAAAAGUGUUGAAACAAUACUUUGAGAGACAGCGGGAGCUCUAGCUGCUCGCUGCAGUGUGGCUAAAUACUGAAAUGGCUCCAGUAAGUACCUCUGAGGACACCUAUAUUUGGGAAGCAUAUAAACGGAUGAAUUAAGGUGACAGUAAAUGUGCAUGCUUGUGGCUCAGGAGGAUAUUAAUACACUCUCCACCCCAACAUUGUUAUCAGAAGGGUACAACUCUGUACAGGGCUUGGUGCAGAUAAGCAUGAAGGCAUGCUUUAUCAUUUGUCAGGGGUAAUGUGAUGACACUUGAUGCUAAGUGUUCUGAACCAGAAACGUGUUAUAAAUAAAUAGGUCUGUUGGGUUUUUGGAAGAGAAAAAGAAAGAUCUGCCUCACGUGUGUGUGUCUUUUUUUUUUUUUUUUUUACCCACCCGCCCAAAAACACUUUUAGUUGGAAAAGACGUCUUGAAAUUGAGAAGUAACAGCGAAUGUUUCAGGUCUUUUUUGGUCAUGAAGCCGUUUGCGAGGAGACGCAGCCGCGCUCAUCUGAGCGGCUCCGUUCCUCUGUAGCAGACCACAACCUUCUGCUCGUCACGCUGCUUCCUGCUUUUUGUUCCCCUCUGGUUCUGACACUCGCUGGCCACUUUUUAGGGACGCCUGUAGAGUCUAACCCAGCCAAGUAGCGAUGCUCUGCCUUAUUGUUCCUGUCAAAAGAUUCUAACUUAUCAGUUUUAAGCCAAAAAGUGUUUAUUACUGAGGUCUGGUGGUCCCAGCGUGUUUAAAACGAAUAAUAGAAAAGCAGCAUGAACGCAUGAGCUGCUCCUUAAACUGAACUAGACUGUGCAGGUGUACCUAAUAAAGUGGCCAAUGAAGGCUGGAAGUAAUGGAAGAUUUGUUAUUGUGCAUAACACAAGCGAAUUCAUGGGAAGUAAAGGUGCCCCCCCCUUCAUUUCAUACAUACAACAACUGAAACCUUAGUUUCUUAGACAAAAGAAUGUUGAAAGAAUUUAAAACCUUGCUCGUCUGUAGCUCAGCUUUGACAAACCAAAAUAGGAGGCAGGCUCCGCACAAACAAGCAUCAGAGUAAGAGAUGAAAUAUGGGUUUUCUGCUUUCCAAAAAAACAAAACAAAAUCACAAACAACACUGAUGGAGAACGCAGCUAACAAAACACUGUCAUGUAAGAUAUUUAGAAAAUUGUGAUUAAUUGCAGGUUUUGUGUUUACAUGUAACUUUGAAGAGAAGCAAUAUAUCUUUUAAAUCAUAGCUGACAUUUGUAGAAAAGUAUCAGUGUAAAGCAAAAACAAACCAGCUUCAAUGACACGGUUCGGAAAAUAAUACAGUCAUCGUUAGGUGUUUUAAGUGUCAAUGUUCAUUUUUUUUUUACUGGAACAAUAAAUUACCAAAAGGACUGUAACUUGAGGUGGUACCAGUUUGGUCCCGAGCUUUAAAACACAUCCCACCUCUCAAUAAGAAAUAUGCCAGCGCAUAAAAUAUUCAGGCAUUUCUCAUGUCUGUUGUAUGUUGCAUGAGCUUCUCGUACACGUUUGUCCCAAAUCUAAGAAUCUGGUGAAGGAAACCUAAUUUACCUCGCUGUCGCUUCCCGUUAGUACAUUUUAAAUUGAAUGAUUUAGGUCAGAUUUCACUUUAUUUGCCACCAUUGCUCUCACCAACAGUCUCUUCAACCACAUGGCGAAAGCUACUAACUUUAUUUGCUCAUCUACUCCACGUGUUGAAUGUUUGUCUUUUGUCCAUCGUUAAACUUCUGUAUUGCUGCAUUUAUUUUUUUGUUUACAGCUAUGGAUUUUAUUCAUAAACCUAAAAUGACUGUAUACACAUUGCUCUGUAUUCUGUGUUAUGUGAUUAAUAAAGUUGUUUAAACUUC